UACGUAGGGGGCAAGCGUUGUCCGGAAUUAUUGGGCGUAAAGAGCGUGUAGGCGGUCCGGUAAGUCGGCUGUGAAAGUCCAGGGCUCAACCCUGGGAUGCCGGUGGAUACUGCUGGACUAGAGUGCGGAAGAGGCGAGUGGAAUUCCCGGUGUAGCGGUGAAAUGCGCAGAUAUCGGGAGGAACACCAAUUGCGAAGGCAGCUCGCUGGGACGUUACUGACGCUGAGACGCGAAAGCGUGGGGAGCAAACAGG
rnacentral:rRNA from 1 species